UCAGGAAGANCACCGGUGGCGAAGGCGGGUCUCUGGGCCGUUACUGACGCUGAGGAGCGAAAGCGUGGGGAGCGAACAGGAUUAGAUACCCUGGUAGUCCACGCCGUAAACGUUGGGCACUAGAUGUGGGGGGCCUUUUCCGGGUCUUCCGCGCCGUAGCUAACGCAUUAAGCGCCCCGCCUGGGGAGUACGGCCGCAAGGCUAAAACUCAAAGGAAUUGACGGGGGCCCGCACAAGCGGCGGAGCAUGCGGAUUAAUUCGAUGCAACGCGAAGAACCUUACCAAGGCUUGACAUGUGCCGGUCGGCUCCGGAGACGGGGUUUCCUCCUUGUGGGGCCGGUUCACAGGUGGUGCAUGGUUGUCGUCAGCUCGUGUCGUGAGAUGUUGGGUUAAGUCCCGCAACGAGCGCAACCCUUGUCCCGUGUUGCCAGCACGUUGUGGUGGGGACUCGCGGGAGACUGCCGGGGUCAACUCGGAGGAAGGUGGGGAUGAUGUCAAAUCAUCAUGCCCCUUAUGUCUUGGGCUUCACGCAUGCUACAAUGGCCGGUACAGAGGGCUGCGAUACCGUGAGGUGGAGCGAAUCCCUUAAAGCCGGUCUCAGUUCGGAUCGGUGUCUGCAACUCGACACCGUGAAGUUGGAGUCGCUAGUAAUCGCAGAUCAGCAACGCUGCGGUGAAUACGUUCUCGGGCCUUGUACACACCGCCCGUCACGUCAUGAAAGUCGGCAACACCCGAAGCCC
rnacentral:rRNA from 1 species